rnacentral:rRNA from 1 species
GACGAACGCUGGCGGCAUGCCUAAUACAUGCAAGUCGAGCGAACAGAUGAAGUGCUUGCACUUCUGACGUUAGCGGCGAACGGGUGAGUAACACGUAAGGAAUCUACCUAUAAGCGGGGGAUAACAUUCGGAAACGGGUGCUAAUACCGCAUAAUAUCUUCUUCCGCAUGGAAGCAGAUUGAAAGACGGCUCUGCUGUCACUUAUAGAUGACCUUGCGGUGCAUUAGUUAGUUGGUGGGGUAAUGGCCUACCAAGACGAUGAUGAAUAGCCGACCUGAGAGGGUGAUCGGCCACAUUGGGACUGAGACACGGCCCAAACUCCUACGGGAGGCAGCAGUAGGGAAUCUUCCGCAAUGGGCGAAAGCCUGACGGAGCAAUGCCGCGUGAGUGAAGAAGGCCUUCGGGUCGUAAAACUCUGUUAUAAGAGAAGAACAAAUUGUAGAGUAACUGCUACAGUCUUGACGGUAUCUUAUCAGAAAGCCACGGCUAACUACGUGCCAGCCGCCGCGGUAA